AUCGACCGAUGCCAACGCGGGCCUCGGACACGGUUUUGUAGGCGUGGAGGUAGACCUCCUCGUAUUUGAUCGACC
rnacentral:sRNA from 1 species